GCCCGCUUCUCCGAACUGUCACCGUAUGGUGUGCGUGCCCGAAAGGGAUAGGAGAGCGGGUUUUC
rnacentral:sRNA from 12 species